UGAAAAGUUUCCGAAAUUCAU
rnacentral:piRNA from 1 species